UGUAUAAAGAGAGAUAGUCUAACUAUCACAAUCAUUCAACAUUUACAUUAUUUGAAUAUAUUAUAUUUUCAUCUUCCAAAAUGUAAGUACAUGUUUUCUUCAAAAUACAAGUAGCUCUCUGAUAUCUAUCCAAAAUAUCAACUAGUACACGAGGGUACUCUAAUGCAUAAGGAAAAACUACUAACUAGGCUCACUUAGGGCGCUAUGCCCUUGCCGCGGUCCUCGCUCGGCUCGCCUCUAUGUGUACCUUUUACCGCUAUCACGAGGCUAGGUUCUCAAUUGCACGUUCCCUAGUCGCCGCUUUACUCAUCGGUCUACACAAGGCCGCCUGCGCUUGUUUUUGCUAGAACGUCGCACCUGCUCGACGAAUCGACGAACCGACGCUUCACACGCAUUUAAGCACCUCAAACACAAGCUUUUCCUCAAACCAAGUAAUGAAGAGGAUGAAGACUUCACCUCCAAGCAACCUUUUUUCUUCUCCAAAUGCACCUCCAAUUCCUCUCUUUGGUGGAGAAAUUGUUGGAGAGAGAGAGAUAUUUCUCUUUGGUUGCAAGUGUGAGGAAGAAAGAAAGAAAAGGCUCAAGUCCCCUAUAUAUAUAUAUAGGAAACUUGGCCUCCAAGUUUCAUAGGAAACUUGGUCUCCAAGUGUCAUAGGAAACUUAGCCUCCAAGUUUCAUAGGAAACUUGGCCUCCAAGUUAUCUAGGAAACUUGGCCUCCAAGUUAUCCAAGAACACUAUUCACAUUCAGUUUAGCAGCACGGUACAGAUAUUUUUCGUCUGCCCUGUCUCUCACAGAAAAUUUUAAAUCUUCUGUUUUCGCUUCCAUUUCAACACGGGUCACUCUAGACUUAUAAUUUAUGUCUAUAAGUCCAAUAAAAAUAGUAUCCCCACUAUUUUUAUUUAUUUCCACUUUUACAUUUAAAAUCCGGUACCUUACAAUUAGACUACUCAGUUGCGCCCUAACAGUAUAACUUUGCAACGAGUACUUUUUCUCAUUCUAUCGAAUAAGGAGUAAACCAAUUAUAUUGUUCUAUUAUACCCCGAGAGUGUAAAUUUGGAACGAAUCGAUGUCAACGUUCACAAGAAUCAAAACCGGAACAACAUUAGACUAUUCAGUAGCGCACUAACAGUAUAACUUUGCAAGGAGUACUUUUUCUUAUUCUAUCGAACAGAGAGUAAAACCUAAUUAUAUUGUUCUAUUAUGCCCCGAGAGUGUAAAUUUGGAACGAAUCGAUUAAACGUUCACAAGAACCAAAACAGGAACAAAGUUAGGCAACUCAGUUGAGCCCUAAAAGUAUAACUUUACAACUAGUACUUUUUCUCAUUCAAUCGAACAAAGAGCAAAACCUAAUUUUAUUGUUCUAUUAUGCCACGGGAGUGUAAAUUUGGAACGAAUCGAUGUCAACGUUCACUAGACCCAAAACCGGAACAACAUUAGACAACUCAGUUGUCCCAUAACAGUAUAACUUUGCAACGAGUACUUUUUCUCAUUCUAUCGAAUAAGGAGUAAAAGCUUUCUAUUAUGCCCUGAGAGUGUAAAUUGAACGAAUCGAUGUCAACGUUCACAAGAACCAAAAUUGGAACAAAGUUAGGCUACUCAGUUGAGCCCUAAUAGUAUAACUUUGCAACCAGUACAUUUUUUCAUUCAAUCGAACAAAGUGCAAGAACUAAUUAUAUGGUUCUAUUAUGCCCCGAGAGUUUAAAUUUGGAACGAAUCGAUAUAAACGUUCACAAGACCCAAAAUCGGAACAAAGUUAGACUACUCAGUUGAGCCCUAAAAGUAUAACUUUACAACUAGUACUUUUUCUCAUUCGAUCGAACAAAGAGCAAAACCUAAUUUUAUUGUUCUAUUAUGCUCCGGGAGUGUAAAUUUGGAACGAAUCGAUGUCAACGUUUACAAGAACCAAAACCGGAACAAUAUUAGACUACUCAGUUGAGCGCUAACAGUAUAACUUUGCAACUAGUACUUUUUCUCAUUCAAUCGAUCAAAGAGCAAAACCUAAUUAUAUUCUUCUAUUAUGCCCCGAGAGUGUAAAUUUGGAACGAAUCGAUGUAAACGUUCACAAGAACCAAAACCGGAACAAAGUUAUACUACUCAGUUGAGCCCAAACAGUAUAACUUUGCAACUAGUACUUUUUCUCCUUCAAUCGAACAAAGAGCAAAACCAAAUUAUAUUGUUCUAUUAUACCCCGAGAGUGUAAAUUUGGAACGAAUCGAUGUCAACGUUCACAAGAACCAAAACCGGAACAAGAUUAGACUACUCAGUUGCGCCACAACAGUAUAACUUUGCAACGAUUACUUUUUCUCAUUCUAUCGAACAAAGGGUAAAACCUUUCUAUUAUGCCCCGAAAGUGUAAAUUUGGAACGAAUCGAUGUGAACGUUCACAAGAACCAAAACCGGAACAAAUUAUACUACUCAUUGCGCCGUAACAGUAUAACUUUGCAACUAGUACUUUUUCUCAUUCAAUCGAACAAAGAGCAAAACCUAAUUAUAUUCUUCUAUUAUGCCCCGAGAGUGUAAAUUUGGAAUGAAUCGAUGUAAACGUUCACAAGAACCAAAACCGGAACAAAGCUAGACUACUCAGUUGAGCCCUAACUGUAUAACUUUGCAACGAGUACUUUUUAUCAUUCUAUUGAAUAAGUAGUAAAAGCUUUCUAUUAUGCCCCGAGAGUGUAAAUUUGGAACGAAUCGAUGUAAAUGAUCACAAGAACCAAAACCGGAACAAAGUUAUACUACUCAGUUGAGCCCUAACAGUAUAACUUUGCAACUAGUACUUUUUCUCAUUCAAUCGAACAAAGAGCAAAACCAAAUUAUAUUGUUCUAUUAUACCCCGAGAGUGUAAAUUUGGAACGAGUCGAUGUCAACGUUCACAAGAACCAAAACCGGAACAACAUUAGAUUACUCAGUUGCGCCAUAACAGUAUAACUUUGUAACGAGUUCUUUUUCUCAUUCUAUCGAACUAGGAGUAAAAACUUUCUAUUAUGCCCCGAGAGUGUAAAUUUGGAACGAAUCAAUGUAAACGAUCAAAAGAACCAAAAUCGGAACAAAAUUAGACUACUCAGUUGCGCCGUAACAAUAUAACUUUGCAACUAGUACUUUUUCUCAUUCAAUCAAACAAAGAGCAAAACCUAAUUAUAGUGUUCUAU
rnacentral:lncRNA from 1 species